rnacentral:rRNA from 1 species
CCUACGGGAGGCAGCAGUGAGGAAUAUUGGUCAAUAGCCGGAAGGCUGAACCAGCCAAGCCGCGUGAGGGAGGAAGGCGCUGAGCGUCGCAGACCUCUUUUGCCGGGGGACAAAAGGCCGGACUCGUCCGGUCCUGAGGGUACCCGGAGAAAAAGCAUCGGCUAACUCCGUGCCAGCAGCCGCGGUAAUACGGAGGAUGCGAGCGUUAUCCGGAUUCAUUGGGUUUAAAGGGUGCGUAGUGGGGCCUUUAAGCCGGCGGUGAAAUUGGGGGGCUAAACCGCGCCGAGCCGUCGGAACUGGGGGUCUUGAGUGCGGCGGAGGUAUGCGGAAUGCGUGGUGUAGCGGUGAAAUGCAUAGAUAUCACGAAGAACCCCGAUUGCGAAGGCAGCGUACCGUGCUGCCACUGACGCUGAGGCACGAAAGCGCGGGGAUCGAACAGGAUUAGAUACCCUAGUAGUC